rnacentral:tRNA from 1 species
GGAGAAGUGGCCGAGCGGCUUAAGGCGCACGCUUGGAAAGCGUGUGUACGGCUUAUCCCCGUACCGUGGGUUCGAAUCCCACCUUCUCCGCCA